ensembl:lncRNA
UAACUCACUAUGUGUAAAAGUUAUCUGACCCAGCCCUGGUCAUGAAGUAAAAGUGACCUUACAGUUGGGAUUCUCUAAGUGCCUUACAAGGACCUCAAGCUGGCUGUAAACACUAAAAUGAUGACUUCAGUGUGUACGCUGCGCGAUGUAUUUCCAGCUCCUGAGAUACACUGGACCAUCCACUACAACCACUCUGAAUCCUUAGUUGACUCGAAGUAUGUCCACACUAAGACAGAGCAGGACCCUGAAAACUAUCUGUACACCUCCAGCAGCACUCUCCACAUCCCUGCAGGUCCUUACCGAGCCAUUACCUGUCUGUGCCACAACCCCACUUCAAAUACGACUCUGAACGCCACCUAUACUUUAAGCAAAG